GUUACAGUUCUUAUGAGUUAUGGGUUAUUAGAGCAUGUACACAUGCUGUAGAGGAACACACCUCACGGGCCACGUCUACUGCAUGCCCUCAACAGAAUGCCUCCUCUGCUGGUUGCUCUUAACAAAAUGCCAUAACCACCUCUGCACCUCUUACGGAAUAAUAGAAGAACCCUCUAGAAUUAUUCUCUUGUAAAUGAUUUCUGCUAUAAAUAUGAGCACUAUUGUAUUGAGGAAGUAUGGAAAAUAAGAAACAUUUCAUUCGGAAUACACUCUUUCUCUUAUGCAUUCUUACAAGCAUCUGAGCUUCAUCUUUCACUACUCUGUUUUCAACAUGGGUAAACGUUGAAGUGAGAGUUGAAAUCUCUUGAACGGGAAAGGAUAUGAUCUACUUGGUGAAGUGAUGGAGUAGUUUGGGAUUAGAGCUAUCGACUAUUUAUGUUGAUAAAGAGAGUUUUGCUGGUAGUAUGCAUGUGAUUGAAAAUGCCUGAACGGUUAAGGAUGGCCUCUGUUAAGAUCACGCUAACCCUUGUAACUCCAGCCCUUCUGGGAAAGGGUUUCUACAAGCAAGAUUUCGCGUGUGCUCCAAAGGGGCUAAUUUUGACAAAAGCAUGUAAAGAGGUGCUCGGCUUCAAUGCUCACAACUAUUUUUGCAACUAUUUUCACAAGUCUAUUUUAAAUGGCAGGCGGUUAUAAAAUCCUGAAUUACAAAUAAUAAAAACUUUGAUAUAUUAAA